CGCCGCGCUCCCGUGCGCUGCCGCGUGAGGGCCGCGUGAGUGACAGGCGGUGGCCAUGGCGACGCCGGGGCCGGCAGCCGCGAGCGCCAGGUGACAGGCGUGCGCUGCAACGUGAGACUCUGCAUGACAGCCGCGGUCUCCGGUAGGAAGUGGCCGAUUCGGAACUCCAAGCCGCUGAGAGUGUUCCUCCGUUCCGACGCCGGAGCUCCGAUCAUGCCGUUGAGGGAGCCUGAAUAUCGGGCCGUCCAUAGCGGCGACUGCGGAGGGCUCGGGAGGCCCCGAACACAGUUGAACAAGAGGAAGAUGACUGAACUUUAUUGCCUUCCCUCACAGUGGGAAACAUUGAUUCUGCUGUGGGGGAUGUUUAUGCUAAAUUCUAUAGUGUUGUGUUCAUUUUAUUUUAUUUAUGUGGCUGUAUGGUAACUCAAAUUGGUGAAUAUGACAAUAAAUGGAACUUGUAACUUG